rnacentral:rRNA from 1 species
UACGGAGGAUCCGAGCGUUAUCCGGAUUUAUUGGGUUUAAAGGGUGCGCAGGCGGGAGAUUAAGUCGGCGGUGAAAUUUUGCAGCUCAACUGUAAAAGUGCCUUCGAAACUGGUUUCCUUGAGUGUAGAUGAAGUAGGCGGAAUUUGUGGUGUAGCGGUGAAAUGCAUAGAUAUCACGAGGAACUCCGAUUGCGCAGGCAGCUUACUAAACUACUACUGACGCUCGUGCACGAAGGCGUGGGGAUCAAACAGGAUUAGAUACCCUGUAGU